GCCAGGUGUGAUGUCAUGCACCUUAGUCCCAGCUACUCUGGAGGCUGAGGUGGGAGGAUCGCUUGAACCAAGGAGUUCUAGGCUGUAGAGUGCUAUGCCAAUUGUGUGUUUGGCAUUAACACGAUGACUUCCUGGGAGCAACUGUUGCCUAAGGAGGGGUAAACCAGCCCAGGUCAGAAAUGGAGCCGGUCAAAACUCCUGUGCUGAUUAGUAAUGGGAUCACACCUGUGAGUAGCCACUGCACUCCAACCUGGCAACUUCAUGAGACCCCUCCUCUU
ensembl:misc_RNA Metazoa_SRP Metazoan signal recognition particle RNA